AGAGUUUGAUCCUGGCUCAGGAUGAACGCUAGCGACAGGCUUAACACAUGCAAGUCGAGGGGCAGCACGGGAGUAGCAAUACAACUGGUGGCGACCGGCGCACGGGUGAGUAACGCGUAUGCAACCUACCUAUCAGAGGGGAAUAACCCGGCGAAAGUCGGACUAAUACCGCAUAAAACAGGGGCACCGCAUGGUGAUAUUUGUUAAAGAAAUUCGCUGAUAGAUGGGCAUGCGUUCCAUUAGGUAGUUGGUGARGUAACGGCUCACCAAGCCGAMGAWGGAUAGGGGAACUGAGAGGUUGGUCCCCCACACUGGUACUGAGACACGGACCAGACUCCUACGGGAGGCAGCAGUGAGGAAUAUUGGUCAAUGGGCGGGAGCCUGAACCAGCCAAGUCGCGUGAAGGAAGAAGGAUCUAUGGUUCGUAAACUUYYUUUUGCARGGGAAUAAAGUGCAGGACGUGUYCUGUUUUGUAUGUACCCUGAGAAUAAGAUCGGCUAAMUYCSUGCCAGCAGCSCGGUAAUACGGARGRWUCGAGCGUUAUCCGRWUUAUUGGGUUUAAGGGUGCGU
rnacentral:rRNA from 1 species